rnacentral:rRNA from 1 species
UACGUAGGGUGCAAGCGUUGUCCGGAAUCAUUGGGCGUAAAGAGCUCGUAGGCGGUCUGUCGCGUCUGCUGUGAAAACUCAGGGCUUAACCCUGAGCUUGCAGUGGGUACGGGCAGACUAGAGUGCGGUAGGGGAGACUGGAAUUCCUGGUGUAGCGGUGAAAUGCGCAGAUAUCAGGAGGAACACCGGUGGGGAAGGCGGGUCUCUGGGCCGUAACUGACGCUGAGGAGCGGAAGCAUGGGGAGCGAACAGG